CAGCAGGCGCGAAAACUUUACAAUGCCGGCAACGGCGAUAAGGGAACCUCGAGUGCCAGGUUACAAAUCUGGCUGUCGCGAUGCCUAAAAAGCAUUGCAUAGCAAGGGCCGGGCAAGGCCGGUGCCAGCCGCCGCGGUAACACCGGCGGCUCGAGUGGUAACCGUUAUUAUUGGGUCUAAAGGGUCUGUAGCCGGCCGGAUAAGUCUCUUGGGAAAUCCAGCAGCUCAACUGUUGGGCUUUCAGGAGAUACUGUCUGGCUCGAGGCCGGGAGAGGUGAGAGGUACUUCAGGGGUAGGGGUGAAAUCUUGUAAUCCUUGAAGGACCACCAGUGGCGAAGGCGUCUCACCAGAACGGACCUGACGGCAAGGGACGAAAGCUAGGGGCACGAACCGGAUUAGAUACCCGGGUAGUCCUAGCCGUAAACGAUACUCGCUAGGUGUCGGCCACGGUGCGACCGUGGUCGGUGCCGUAGGGAAGCCGUGAAGCGAGCCACCUGGGAAGUACGGCCGCAAGGCUGAAACUUAAAGGA
rnacentral:rRNA from 1 species